GUCUGGGAUGUGAGGAGCGCCUCUGCCGGGCCGCGACCCCAUCUGGGAGAUGAGGAGCGUCUCUGCCCGGCCGCCCCAUCUGAGAAGUGAGGAGCCCCUCUGCCUGGCAGCCGCCCUGUCUGAGAAGUGAGGAGCCCCUCUGCCCGGCAGCCGACCCGUCUGAGAAGUGAGGAGCCUCUCCGCCUGGCAGCCGCCCCGUCUGAGAAGUGAGGAGCCCCUCCGCCCGGCAGCUGCCCUGUCUGGCCAUAGACUCUCCAACUCCUGCAACUGUCUGGAAUUUCUUCUCUCUCCAAUCCAUCUCUAGUAUUGAUGACAUAGCUGGACUGUACUGCUGCCAUCUCGGCUCACUGCAACCUCCCUGCCUGAUUCUCCUGCCUCAGCCUGCCGAGUGCCUGCGAUUGCAGGAGCGCGCCGCCACGCCUGACUGGUUUUCGUAUUUUUUUGGUGGAGAAGGGGUUUCGCUGUGUUGGCCGGGCUGGUCUCCAGCUCCUAACCGCGAGUGAUCUGCCAGCCUCGGCCUCCCGAGGUGCCGGGAUUGCAGACGGAGUCUGGUUCACUCAGUGCUCAAUGGUGCCCAGGCUGGAGUGCAGUGGCGUGAUCUCGGCUCGCUACAACCUCCACCUCCCAGCCGCCUGCCUUGGCCUCCCAAAGUGCCGAGAUUGCAGCCUCUGCCUCGCCACCACCCCGUUUGGGAAGUGAGGAGCGUCUCUGCCUGGCCACCCAUCGUCUGGGACGUGAGGAGCCCCUCUGCCUGGCUGCCCAGUCUGGAAAGUGAGGAGCGUCUCUGCCCGGCCGCCAUCCCAUCUAGGAAGUGAGGAGCGCCUCUUCCCGGCCUCCCAUCGUCUGAGAUGUGGGGAGCGCCUCUGCCCCGCUGCCCCGUCUGGGAUGUGAGGAGCGCCUCUACCCGGCCGCGACCCCGUCUGGGAGGUGAGGAGCGUCUCUGCCCGGCUGCCCCGUCUGAGAAGUGAGGAGUCCCUCCGCCCGGCAGCUGCCCCGUCUGAGAAGUGAGGAGCCCCUCCGUCCGGCAGCCGCCCCGUCUGGGAAGUGAGGAGCCCCUCCGCCCGGCAGCCACCCCGUCUGGGAGGGAGGUGGGGGUCAGCCCCCCACCCGGCCAGCCGCCCCGCCCGGGAGGUGAGGGGCGCCUCUGCCCGGCUGCCCCUACUGGGAAGUGAGGAGCCCCUCUGCCCAGCCAGCCGCCCCGUCCGGGAGGGAGGUGGGGGGGUCAGCCCCCCGCCCGGCCAGCUGCCCCGUCCGGGAGGUGAGGGGCGCCUCUGCCCGGCCGCCCCUACUGGGAAGUGAGGAGCCCCUCUACCCGGCCACCACCCCGUCUGGGAGGUGUAUCGAACAGCUCAUUGAGAACAGGCCAUGAUGACAAUGGCGGUUUUGUGGAAUACAAAGGGGGGAAAGGUGGGGAAAAGAUUGAGAAAUCGGAUGGUUGCCGCGUCUGUGUAGAAAGAGGUAGACAUGGGAGACUUUUCAUUUUGUUCUGUACUAAGAAAAAUUCUUAUCCUGUUGAUCUGUGACCUUACCCCCAACCCUGUGCUCUCUGAAACAUGUGCUGUGUCCACUCAGAGUUAAAUGGAUUAAGGGCGGUGCAAGAUGUGCUUUGUUAAACAGAUGCUUGAAGGCAGCAUGCUCGUUAAGAGUCAUCACCACUCCCUAACCUCAAGGACCCAGGGACACAAACAUUGCGGAAGGCCGCAGGGUCCUCUGCCUAGGAAAGCCAUAGACCUUUGUUCACUUGUUUAUCUGCUGACCUUCCCUCCACUAUUGUCCUAUGACCCUGCCAAAUCCCCCUCUGCGAGAAACACCCAAGAAUGAUCAAUAAAAAAUAAAAAAAUAAUAAAAAAAAAAGAAAAAAAAGAAAAAAACAAUGUCACAUAUUGCCACAGGAUAAGCUAAGGAUGAAAUCUCUCCAGGACUUAGUGUCAUAGAGGUCAUUGGUGACUCUAGUGAGGGCCACUGUAUAUAGUGGGGGCAGGAGCCAUAGUGGGUUUUAAGCUCAAAUAGGAGGUAAGGACAUGGAAAACAUGGGAAGGCACUUGAGAAGUCUGACUAUGAAGCAGAGAUAGGACUGUGGUCAGAUACAAAUAUGAGAAGCAGAUUUCUUCUGAUGAGAAUGGUGUGUUCAACUGUCCAUGCAAAGAGCCAAUGGAGAAAGAGAGGAAAAAUACAGACCAAGUAACAACAGACUCCAUGAGAGAACGAGAGGAGAUAGGAUUGCAGCACAUGUUGAAUAACUGGCCUUUAAUAAGAGGAGGGAUUCUUCCUGUACAGGAAGAGGAGGGAUGAAGUGAAUGCAGAUGCAUUUGUGUACAUGGGUAUCAUGGUUUUUUUUUCCCCUGUGAAGUAAUCAGUUAGGGGGUGAAAGGGGCUUUAGAGGGAAAGGGGUUUGAAAUAGUUACAGAAGGAUUGAAGAGAAACACAUUAACAUUGUUGGCAGUACUGACAGCCUAACUCAAUGUGCUGAGCAUGAAUUUACAGUGAUAAAAAUCUACCAGAAACGACCUCCAGCUGCAAGGAUGCAGAAGCAGUGUUGGGUUCAUCCAGGGCUGGUAUUUUGCCAGGCUGACACAAUAGAGCAGCAGCAUACAUGAGCUUAAAUUAUUUACAUCUGCUGAAGUCUAGUCCGCCAAAGAUCACCAGGCUCAAGCCUGUCUUCUGACAAAACCAUUUAUUGAUUUGCAAGCAAGGGAACCAGAAGCAGCAAAGAUGGUGCAUUCCACAAGAGGGCAGGGGGUGCCAUCUUUGGUAAGGUUUGGGUUCCCAGUGUAGGGUUCUGAGCAAGCUAUAAGGGAAAGGAGACCAGUUCUGGGUUGGAUGCUAUUUCUGUAGCAAGAUUAGAUGUGAGAAUUAACUAGAGAUUGGUGCUGCAAUGAGGUGAGGGCAAGUUUAGCAACUGGAUAUCCCCAGUAGUAGAUGGGUUAUAGCAAAAUAGGUCUAAGGGUGUCACAGCCAACAAAGCAGUGGUCACAUGAGGGAGUCAUGAUGGUAUUUUAUAGCUGCUGCAGGACCUAACAGUUUCAUGUUAACUUUGCAGCUGCCUUGCCUGUCCCCCUGACAGUGGUGGAGCUUUUUUUUUCAGUUUGAGCCACUUUGAGUCCUAGAGUUUACUUUCAUACCAAACAUCCUCCUCUCAUUAAAUGUGAAUGAUUUUUCCCCCUAAAGUACAACUUAAUCCAUAUGCAUCUGUCCUCUCUAAAGAUUUAAUGAAAUACCUAAUUAUAGAAUUAAGCUUGCUUUCUGGCAAGACCCAGCCUAGAGUGAACGUUAAGUUUUAGACCAUCCCCUAAAUCACCAAAGCCCAAAUCCUACCACAGAUUCUAACACACUCUUACUGAUGCACCCCACAACUCCCACAAGGUGUAUGUUCUCCUUUACUGCAACAAUAAGCUCAGGCCGGGCGAGGUGGCUCACGCCUGUAAUCCCAGCACUUUGGGAGGCCGAGGUGGGCAGAUCAUCUGAGAUUGGGAGCUUGAGGCCAACCUGGCCAACAUGGCGAAACCCCGUCUCUACUAAAAAUACAAAAUUAGCCGGGCAUGGUGGUGCGUGCCUGUAAUCCCAGCUACUUGGGAGGCUGAGGCAGAAUUGCUUGAACCCGGGAGGCAGAGGUUGAGGUGAGCUGAGAUCACGCCACUGCACUCCAGCCUGGGCAACAAGAACAAUACUCUGCCUCAAAAAACAAACAAACAAACAAAAAAAAAAACAAAACCCAGUAAGCUCAACAUGUUCAGGUACAGUGUGUUCCUGGUAGUCUAUGGCUGGAGAGCAUUAACAACAUAAAGACAGAGGGUCAGAGUUGAUGACAACUUCUAGGUUAAGACCAAUAUUUGUGGUUUUUUUUUUUUUUUUGCCAGAACGCAAGACUAUAUUUACUAGCAGCUCUGUGUCCUUGCUCAUUGGAAAAUGAUCUUUCCUCAAGACUUGCUGACACGUUUCUGUUUAAGGCAUGACAAUCCUAAAGGCCAACAAUUGUGGACGGGGGCAACUCUUCCUUUCAUUAUGUACUGGUGUAGUCAAUUAUGCAAAGUCUGGUCAACCAAAGACCACCAGGCUCAAGCCAUCAGUUUUAAAAUAUGGCCACAUGCUCCUUGAUGGCCUAUGUGAUAUGGCUUUAGUAACUCCCUUAGGACCAAGAGAAUAUAAUGGAACUAAUGCUGUGUAACUUCCAAAUGCAGCUGCUUUCUGGGUCUUUUGAAAUGGCCCUUCAGAAUCCAGGCAACAUGCUGUGAGAAGUUCAAGCUACAUGGACAAGUGUAGAUGGUUCUGGUGAACGAUUCCAAUCUAGUCUUGGCUUUAAAAGUCAUCUCAGUACCAUGAAUUCAGAUGAUUAUAGCUCUCAGAUAUUCAAAUUACCCUCAGCCCUUAGUUUUCCUUGCCUAGGCCUCAGACAUCAUAGAAUAAAGCCAUCCCCAUUGUGCCCUCUCCAAGUUCCUGAACUAUAGAGUCCAUGAGCAUAAUAAAAUGAUUGUUUUAAGAUGC
rnacentral:lncRNA from 1 species